rnacentral:lncRNA from 1 species
UUGAUCGAUAUGGUUCCCUUUGAAUGACAUGAAGGAGGAAUAAGGGUUGCUUCUCACUCCCUUUUGGUCUGUGCUGGCGUGGACGGAGGGUGACCCAGGCCUGUCCGACCAAAGGUGGCCGGUGAGCCUCUUGGUCUGUGCAGGUAAAAUUUCUCACUCCCUUUUAUCUUUUCGUGACUUCUUCUUUUGGGGCCUGCUGAAUUGGUUUGCUUGGUGCAAUUGAGAAAAUAAGAUGACCUGGUGAGGUGAGGAAAAAACAUACAAUGGGGGCAUGCCAAAUUGGUGGAGUUGAAGCAUGUGUCCUGCUUACACAUCUUAGGAACAUGGCAGAGGAAGGUGUUGAUUAAUUGGUAGGCAAAUUAAGCGUUUCAUGGGAAUCCUCGGUUAAUCUAACAUGAAGGAUGGAGUGUUUCCAUGGUUGUGAAUUUUUCUCAUAGCAAGUUGAACGUAGAGCAUUUACGUGUAACAUAAAGCUUCGUAUAAUGGAUCAUGUUUGCCCUGUCCAGUUACUUAACUUCUAAUAACAUUGGGCCUAUAAGGAAGUGCUUAUCUAAUAAAUAAAUAUACUCAUGCUUGAUUUGCAUUGUUGAUUGACAAUAUGGUCUCUACUGAACCAUUAAAAAUACCUGGCUUUCUGAUCUUAGACCCAAAAUAUGGUCUUUGUUGCUAUUGUUUUUCCCAAUUAAUUCUACAAUUACUUCUUUUAUUUAGUGAUGUAUUCCUUGUAUGCUUAACUAUCUCUUCUUCUUUUUUUACAUUGAAGAUCAUUUAGAGUAAUUCAUUUUGCGUUCAUCCUGAAAUUCAGCGAACGGACAUCAAAUAUAUUACAUUAGAUGAUGGGGGAAACUGUACUUGCAGUGCUUCAGUUCUGCAACAAUGGACUCCCCGAAGUGCCAACACCUUUACAUG